rnacentral:rRNA from 1 species
GACGAACGCUGGCGGCGUGCUUAACACAUGCAAGUCGAACGAAGUGGCGAACGGGUGAGUAAUACGUGGGUAACCUGCCCUCCUUUUUGGGAUAAGCCUUGGAAACGGGGUCUAAUACCGAAUAAAGGGGGUUGGGCUCGCGGCGUAUCAGCUUGUUGGUGGGGUGAUGGGCUACCAAGGCGGUGACGGGUAGCCGGCCUGAGCGGGGGACCGGGCACAUGGGGACUGAGAUACGGCCCAGAGUCCUACGGGAGGCAGCAGUGGGGGAUAUUGGACAAUGGGCGAAAGCGUGAUGCAGCGACGCCGCAUGGGGCAUGAAGGUUUUCGGGUUGUAAAACUCUUUAGGAAUCGAACCGGUAGGCGGAGAAGAAGCGCCGGCUAACUACGUGCCAGCAGCCGCGGUAAUUC